UCCUGGUAACUCAGUUGGUAAAAAGUCUGCCUGCAAUGCAGGAGACCCCUGGUUCAAUUCCUGGAUCAGGAA
rfam:Ovis aries breed Texel chromosome 1, whole genome shotgun sequence.